rnacentral:rRNA from 1 species
CCUGCCGAAUGAAUUAGCCCUGAAAAUGGAUGGCGCUGAAGCGUGUAGCCGACACUAUGCCGUCUGAACAAUAUAUGCUUUCAGAUGAGUAGGAGGAACGUGGCGGUUGUAUAGAAGCGUAUGCGCAAGCAUGCGUGGAACGGCCGCUAGUGCAGAUCUUGGUGGUAGUAGCAAAUAUUCAAAUGAAAACCUUGAAGGGUGAAGCGGGGAAGGGUUCCACGCGAACAUUGAUUGAGCGUGGGUGAGUCGUUCCUAAGCCGAGUGGUAAUCCUGGACACCGGCGAAAGGGAAGCAGGUUGAUAUUCCUGCACACGGAUGUGGACGCGGUGACGCAAGACUGUGGCGGUGAAGCUGUCGGUUGCACUGGGCAGAGAUUUCUUUUCUGUUUAACGAAGCCUGGCGUACUCUAUGGAAUCCGCUUGUCGGGAGAAAUAGGUGUGUCACGGCAAAGCGCUGGGAUUUUUUCUGGCGUCCAGCUUGCGACUGGCGGACCUUGAAAAGCUGUCUGCAGGCCAUUAAAAAUUGAUUUUUUUUCUGGUGAGAAAUUCCACGCCGUAACGUACCGAUAACCGCAUCAGGUCCCCAAGGUGAACAGCCUCUGCUCGAUAUGAUUAAUGUAGGUAAGGGAAGUCGGCAAAUUGGACCCGUAACUUUGGGAAAAGGGUUGGCUCUAGUGCUGCGUAGGAGUGGUUGCUGGGGUGUGGCGAAAAGUUGUGUUGUUGGUGUGGGUUCCUGCUGUGGAGCAAUCUGCGGUGGUGUCUGUGCUGGCGAUGUGGCAUUUUGUUGCUUCUGGGGACGCCUGCAGCAUGCAGCAAACUAGAACUGCAACGGACAAAGGGAAUCCGACUGUUUAAUUAAAACAAAGCAUU